GCUCAUUAAACAUCUCAAAUUGAAGAUCCCACAGGGAAUGCAAUACCUCUCUCUUUAUCAAAUCCUUCAUCUAAAAAUGAUAAAAUAAGGAUCGUUCAGAGGAGCUCCAUACUUCACUCCAAGGGAAUAAACCUGGCCUUGGAAAAGCAGGCAUUCAACCCAUAAAAGGAAUCAUCUCAGAAGCAGGUACAUUUUCAACCAGCGUAUUAGCUUCAGAUCUGAAUUACAUGAGCCACAGUGUACAGAAGUCUUAUUAAAGAGAGAGAAACCAUGUCUUUCCUGUGAAAUGGAAGAGAUCACAGGCCAUUCUUUGGCUAUGAGAGUAAGUGACGAAACAAAAUGUGGUGGAAGCAUCUAUAAAUUCC
rnacentral:lncRNA from 1 species